GCCUGGGUGGCUCAGUCGGUUGAGCGUCCGACUUUGGCUCAGGUCAUGAUCUCGUGGUUUGUGAGUUCGAGCCUCACGUUGGGCC
rnacentral:tRNA from 1 species